rnacentral:rRNA from 1 species
GUCCACGCCCUAAACGAUGUCAACUAGGUGUUGGGUGGGUAAACCAUUUAGUACCGUAGCUAACGCGAGAAGUUGACCGCCUGGGGAGUACGGCCGCAAGGUUAAACUCAAAGGAAUUGACGGGACCCGCACAAGCGGUGGAUGAUGUGGAUUAAUUCGAUGCAACGCGAAAACCUUACCUACCCUUGACAUGUCCAGGAGUCCGAAGAGAUUUGGAUGUGCUCGAAAGAGAACUGGAACACAGGUGCUGCAUGGCUGUCGU